ensembl:piRNA 21ur-1976 ncRNA
UUCAAUGUUUCAAUGUUGGAA